GGUUGACCGAAUAUUUCAACGACAUUACCACUUUAUCAAGAAAACUUGCCCUGUCAUGAUACCUUAUAAAUCUAGUUUGAACCAUGAUGAACACAAAGCAUACCUGAGGGCCUUUGUCAAGUUCAAAAUUCGCUCCCCAGUGACUCCUGCUGAGGCAAUUGAAUAUGAGAAUUAUUUGAGGCUUCAGAAUCGGGUCUAUGAAGAGCAACAGUGUUUUAUGAGGUUUGCAUAUCAGGUGGCAAGAUUACAGUUGAAAUCAUAUAUGAUGUUCCUGAUGUCAUUAAUAGCUAUAUUAAUGACUAUGUGAAAGAUCAUUGUAAACAUGUUUCAAGCUACAAAAGUUUAUAUACACAAGAGCAGUCAAUUCCGUUAUGUCCUUUGGAUCCAAGUAAUAAAUACAGUGAUCUUUAUUUCAACCAUGUUGGUCAUCUGCUUAGUAUAGUAAGU